rnacentral:rRNA from 1 species
UACGUAGGGUGCGAGCGUUAAUCGGAGUUACUGGGCGUAAAGCGUACGCAGGCGGUCCAAUCAGUCUAUAGGGACAGGGCACAGCUUAACUGUGUCAGGCUUAUGGAAACUGUUGGACUUGAGGGCUUCAGAGGGAUGGGGAAUUCCGGGUGGAGUGGUGAAAUGCGUAGAGAUCCGGAAGAACACCAAAGGCGUAGGCACCAUCCUGGGGAGUCACUGACGCUCAUGUACGAAAGCUAGGGGAGCGAACGGG